UCUAAGGGAGACUGCCGGUGUUAAAACCGGAGGAAGGUGGGGAUGACGUCAAGUCCUCGAUGGCCCUUAUGUCCAGGGCUACACACGUGCUACAAUGGCCGGUACAAAGGGCUGCAAUACCGCAAGGUGGAGCGAACCCCAAAAAGCCGGUCUCAGUUCGGAUUGGAGUCUGCAACUCGACUCCAUGAAGUUGGAAUCGCUAGUAAUCGCGGAUCAGCACGCCGCGGUGAAUACGUUCCCGGGCCUU
rnacentral:rRNA from 1 species